AGACGAGCCGUUUAAAUAGGUGUCAAGUGGAAGUGCAGUGAUGUAUGUAGCUAAGGCAUCCUAACGAACGAACGAUUUGAACCUUGUUCCUACACGGCCUGAUCAAAUCGACUAGGCACUUUCCAUCUAUCUUCAUUGUUCAACUCUUUGAUAAAAAGAUGAAAAAACCAAAAAAAGCUCUGCACUUCCAUCACUUGGAUAGAUAGAGAGGGAGGGCAGAGGCCUUUGGUGUCCCUUUCAGUCAAGAAUUGGGGUUUCACAAUUACUAGCCCAUAUUUAUCUCAUGCCUUUCAUCGUUCAUGAUUCGAUAUUCUGGUGUCCUAGGCGUAGAGGAACCACACCAAUCCAUCCCGAAUUUGGUGGUUAAACUCUACUGCGGUGACAAUACUGUAGGGGAGGUCCUGCGGCAAAAUAGCUCGAUGCCAGAAUGAUAAAAAGUUUAACACCUCUUAUUUGACUUUUUCACUAUUUUCAAAUAAGAAAAAGAUCCAAAUCUAAAAUGGAAAGGUCGUCUUAUUCAAAACCUCAAUCAUCACAUCCCCUCUCUCCCACUUCACACCUCGGAACGCACUGUUCUUAUAGAGAGAAAGGCGCUUUCCCAUCUUCUUAACCUGAAAUGAAGGGGUACCCCCGGGAAGAGAUCCAGUGGAGACAACUGGGCCUGUAGCUCAGAGGAUUAGAGCACGUGGCUACGAACCAUAGUGUCGGGGGUUCGAAUCCCUCCUCGCCCACAGCCUUCCAAAGGGGAAAGGGUCUUUACUUUCCCCCUGAGGGUAGGAAAAUCAUGAUCGGGAUAGCGAACGUAAAGCUAUUGAACUUAGGUAUGCUCUUUCCUUUUGUCGAAGUGGAAUCAUAGAACAGAAUGUGAUACGAUGAGAUAGAAUGCAAUAGAAAUAGAAACAAGGAUAGCGAACGGGUUACCUACUCCUAAGGGUCAAAGCAAGUCCUUUAAUUCCAUUCUUUAUUCUUACAUUAAAGAAUGAAUAAAAUCUCCCCAAGUAGGAUUCGAACCUACGACCAGUUAGUUUACAACUGACCGCUCUACCACUGAGCUACUGAUGAACAAGGGGGGAUUCGACCUCCUAGAGUUCAACUCCCUCUCUCAACCCAUGAACAAUAUGAGUCCGAAGCUUCUUUCGUAACUCCCAUAAUUUCUUCGUAGUGGCUCCGUUCCAUGCCUCAUUUCAUAGGGAAGCCCAAAGUGGCUCUAUUUCAUUCUAUUUCACUUCCUAGAACUUCCUAUCAUUUAAUAUCCAUCCCUUUGGUCUUAUUGACAUAAGAGAUGUCAUUUAUAGUCUAUCUCUUUCUAUAUAUGGAAAGUCAAGAAAUUCUCAUCGAAACAUCGAGAAAUUGUGCAUAUAGAAAACUCUAAAGAAAGAAAAAAAGGAGACCCAUGCCAUGAUUUUCAAAUCUUUUCUAUUUAGUAGUAUAAGUUUCUUGAUGGGGAUAAUUAAUUCGGUCAUUUUUGUCGGACUCUAUUAUGGAUUUCUGUCUACAUUCUCCAUAGGUCCCUCUUAGAUCUUCUUUCUCCAAUCUUGGAUUAGGGAAGAAGGAGAUAUUCGCGACUACUGGCGAUUUCAUUAUGGGGCAGCUCAUUAUCUUCAUAUCGAUCUAUUAUCCACCUAUGUAUCUAUUCUUUCUUAGCUAAAAGGGUGGAAGAUCUAUCCAAUUUUGUUAUAUUAUAUCAUGGACUCGAAAAACGGAUCUGAAUUUGACAGAAAUGCAUGAUCUUCACAUGUAUCACUUUUCACGAUACCUAAAAGGUGGAAUAGCGAUUUUUGAACCAUUUCCUAUAAGAGAAUGGUUCCCAUUACUUUGAGAAAUUGAUUCUUAUAUCAAACUAUAGCUAUUGCAUUAAAGAAGAAAAGAAACUAAUAGAAGUCGAAGACGCUGAAUGAUAGUGAAUAGAGAGAAAGAUUCUUCUGAUUUUCUUGUUUCUAUCUACUAGAUGCCAUAGAGAAUUGAGAAUUUUCAUGUCUUUCAAUUCUGGUACUCAUAAUUGGAAAGUUAUGGAAGGAGACCCAUCAUUUUGCAAUGAAAACAACAUAUAAAACACUUGAAAAUUUCGAAAUCAGGCCAAGCGUCUUAAUACAUAUGCAAAUAAAUUCAUUAUUGGCCCACCAUUGAUUAGAAAAUUUAGCUUGUGUGAAUCGCUAUUGGUUUGAUACGAAUAAUGACAAUCGUUUUAGUAUGUUAAGGAUACAGAUGUAUCCACAAUUCAUUUAGAGUUACUUAAUAGUCUAUUUCUUAUACCAUAUCUCUAUCUCGUGAAAUUCUCGAUCCAAAAGAUGGAUGCAUAUGUUGUGUUUCAUUUUCCUAAAUGAUAUCAAUUAAAUGGUGUAUUAAUUCCAUAAAUUGCAUAUAGCAAUAAAUAAAUCAGCAAAAUUCUUUCUAAUAUUUUGGAUAGAAGAAAUUUCUUCUAUCUAAAAUAUUAGAAAGAAUGUACCCUUCUAUCCAAAUCCAAUUUGCAUCGAUAAAAUAAAUCCAAAUUCCAGUAGUAGAUGAAUAAUUGGAAAUUUGUGUGUGUACGAGAUUAGAAUAACUCCAAAAUAUAUGACAUAAUUUUGUAUAUUUCCUGAUUAGAAAAAUACAUGAAAAAGAAAGGAGGUAGAAUUUUUUUUAGAUUUAUGGUUAAAGAAGAAAAAGAAGAAAACAGGGGUUCUGUUGAAUUUCAAGUAUUGAGUUUCACCAAUAAGAUAUGGAGACUUGCUUCACAUUUGGAAUUACACAAAAAACAUUUUUCAUCAAGAAGAGAUCUAAGAAGACUUUUGGGAAAACGUCGACGUUUGUUGGCUUAUUUGGCGAAGAAAAAUACAGUACGCUAUAAGAAAUUAAUCGGUCAGUUGAAUAUUCAGGAGCAGUAAGUUAAUCAUUCAAAUUGUUUUCUUGUUUUAUUAUUUUUUAGUAGUCUUAUAGUAGUCUUAUAUUUUUCAUUUUGUUGAGCCUCGCUUUGAGGAAUUCAUGGAAUAAUGAAUUAAGGAAGAAACGAUAUGAGUCUACCGCUUACAAGAAAAGGUCUCAUGAUAGUCAAUAUGGGCCCUCAACACCCAUCAAUGCAUGGUGUCCUUCAACUGAUCGUUACUCUCGAUGGUGAGGAAUGGAAAAAAAUCACGGAAAACCGAACUAUUAUACAAUACUUACCUUAUGUAACUAGGUGGGAUUUUUAGCUACUAUGUUUACAGAAGCAAUAAUAGUAAAUGCACCAGAAUUCUUGGAGAAUAUUCAAUUACCACAAAGAGCCAUCUAUAUUAGGGUAAUUAUGUUAGAAUUAAGCCGGAUAGCUUCUCACUUGCUAUGGCUUGGACCUUUUAUGGUGGAUCUCGACGCACAAACUCCUUUUUUCUAUAUUUUUAGAGAGAGAGAAUUAAUAUAUGAUCUAUUUGAAGCUGCUACAGGUAUGCGAAUGAUGCACAAUUGCUUUCGCAUCGGAGGAGUAGCUGCCGAUCUACCUUAUGGAUGGAUCGAUAAAUGUUUAGAUUUUUGUGAUUAUUUUUUACGCGGAGUUGUUGAAUAUGAACAACUUAUUACACAGAAUCCAAUUUUUUUAGAGCGAGUUGAAGGAGUAGGUUUUAUAGCGGAGAAGAAGCAAUAAAUUGGGUCUUAUCGGGACCGAUGUUACGAGCUUCUAGAAUACAGUGGGAUCUUUGUAAAGUAGAUCCUUAUGAGUCUAACAACCAAUUAGAUUGGAAAGUCCAAUGGCAAAAGGAUGGGAUUCGUUAGCUCGCUAUUUAGUACGAAUUUGUGAAAUGAGGGAAUCCAUCAAAAUAAUUCAACAAUCUGUAGAAACUUUCCUGGAGGACCUUAUGAGAAUUUAUAAGUCCAACGCUUCAAGAAAGAAAAUAAUUCUGAAUGGAAUGAUUUUGAGUAUAAAUUUCUUGGUAAAAAACCUUCGGCCAAUUUUGAAUUGUCAAGACAAGAGCUUUAUGUAAGAGUAGAAGCCCCAAAAGGUGAAUUAGGGAUUUAUCUGGUAGGAGAUGACAGCCUUUUCCCCUGGAGAUGGAAAAUCCAUCCACCCGGGUUUAUUAAUUUGCAAAUUCUUCCUUAGCUAGUUGAAAAAAUGAAAUUGGCUGAUAUCAUGACGAUAUUAUGUAGUAUAGAUAUCAUUAUGGGGGAAGUUGAUCGUUGAAAUGAUAAUAGAUAGGGUAGAGGUAGAAACUAUCAAUUCUUUUUCGAAAUUGGAAUUAUUUAAAGAAGUCUAUGGACUGAUAUCGAUUCUACCCAUUUUGACCCUCCUUUUGGGAAUAACAAUAGAGGUACUCGUAAUUGUGUGGUUAGAAAGAGAAAUAUCUGCGUCGAUACAACAACGUAUUGGUCCUGAAUAUGCUGGGCCCCUGGGCCUUCUUCAAUCUAUAGCAGAUGGGACUAAGCUACUUUUUAAAGAAGGUAUUCUGCCAUCCCGAGGAGAUAUUUCUUUAUUUAGCAUUGGACCCUCUAUAGCAUUCAUAUCAGUUUUAUUAAGUUUUUAGUUAUCCCUUUGGGAUAUCAUUCUGUUUUAGCCAAUCUUAGUAUUGGUGUUUUUUAUGGAUUGCCAUUUCAAGUAUAGCUCCUAUUGGUCUUCUUAUGGCAGGAUAUAGCUCAAGUAAUAAAUAUUCUUUUUCAGGCGGUCUACGAGCUGCUGCUCAAUCCAUUACUUAUGAAAUACCAUUAACUUUUUGUGUGCUAGCAAUAUCCCUACGUGUGAUUCGCUAAAAUAGAUCUUUUUCCUAUAAAAUCCAUUAACUAUUUAUAUUCCUUUUCUUAUUUAGUAUUUGGGUUGGUAAGUUAAACUAGAUAGCUAUAUGAGUGAAACAAAAAAGCUUAUAAAUUUGUAGUAAAAAGAAAAAAAAUCUCAUUUCCUACGUACAAGAAAAUAGUGGAAGUAAACAUAAGCAGUGUAAACUCUUUAUCCCAAGGUUGAUAUUUUUUUUAAUUAGUCAUCAUAUCUAGAAGCGGCCAAGAAUAAAGGAUUCACGAUAUGGAAUUCGAUUACUAGAAUACUCCUAGUUAUUACUAUAACUUAAUAAUCCAUAAGAAGAAUCCACUAAAAGUUAGUGAAGGGUUAGGAACACUAAAGUACAUAAAGGAUUAGUAAUGGAAAAUCUAAAACAUUAGAGAUUUUUGCCCAUAAAAGGAAUCAUAAUAAGGACUUGUAAUUUGUAGAAAUUAUCAAGUAGUACUUUCUUCAGAUUCCGAUCCAGAGUAUGUUCCCAUUCACUUGUUAAGGAAAUGGCUAUCACGAAAGAAUUAACCCUUUAUCCAUUUUUCUUUUUAAAUACCCCCUCCCUGGAGAAAGAAGAAUAGUAAAAAUGAUAUGGAGUGCACUAGAAAAAAGUCAUUAUUUCCUUCCUCUAUCCAUAUUCAUGCAGAAUUGCUCAUGAACUAAUACCCAACUCUUUCCAUUUAUUAAUUGAAUUCCUAUAACAAGUAACAAUUGUUUUAUUCCAAGAUUAAGUUAUUACUGAACAAAGAAUUUUUUUAAUUAUAUUAUAAAGGAUGAGAUCAAUUCAGAAGUGCUUUUUCUUAUUCUAGCAGACGGAAUUCCUUUGGUCUAAUUUAGGACAUUCAAAUCUAUUUUAUUUUAUCUAAUUCUAUCUAUGCUCCAGGGGCUAGGAACAAAACAGUCCUUUCCUCUAUCUGAUCAUAGAGAAGCCGUAUGAAGCUAAGGUUUCAUGUACGGUUUUGAAAUAGUGGUGGGAACUGUGAUUUUAUCGUCGACUAUGAUUAUCUAACAGUUCAAGUACAGUUGAUAUAGUUGAAGCACAGUCAAAAUAUGGUUUUUGGAUGGAAUAUUUGGUGUCAGCCUAUAGGUUUUCUGGUUUUUUUAAUUUCUUAUUUGGCAGAAUGUGAAAGAUUACCCUUUGAUUUACUAGAAGCAGAGGAAGAAUUAGUAGCAGGUUACCAAACUGAAUAUUCCGGUAUCAAAUAUGGUUUAUUUUAUCUUAUUUCUUACCUAAAUUUAUUAGUUUCUUCUUUAUUUGUAACAGUUCUCUACUUGGGCGGGUGGAAUUUAUCUAUUCCCUAUAUACCCUUUUUUAAAUUUUUUUCCAAAUGAAUAAAGGAGUUGGAAUUUUGGAAAUGACAAUGGGUAUAUUUAUUACAUUAACUAAAGCUUAUUUAUUUCUCUUCAUUUCUAUCACAAUAAGAUGGACUUUACCAAGGAUGAGAAUGGAUCAGUUAUUAAAUCUUGGAUGGAAAUUUCUUUUACCUAUUUCCCUGGGCAAUCUCUUAUUAACAACCUCUUCUCAACUUGUUUCACUAUAAAUAAGAUAAUACAAUAAUAGUAAGAAUAUUUUCAACACAAAAGCUCUCUCAAACAAGAGAAAGAAACAUAUCUUUUUCAUAGAUAUUUAGAAUGAAUAUGUUCCCUAUGGUACCUGGGUUCAUGAGUUAUGGUCAACAAACAAUGCGUGCUACAAGGUACAUAGGUCAAAGUAUCAUAACUACCUUAUCCCACACAAAUCGUUUACCUAUAAUGAUUCACUACCCUUAUGAAAAAUCAAUUACACCAGAGCGUUUUCGAGGGUGAAUCCACUUUAACUUUGAUAAAUGUAUUGCUUGUGAAGUAUGUGUUCGCGUAUGUCCGAUAGAUUUACCCGUUGUGGAUUGGAGAUUUGAAAAGGAUAUUAAAAGAAAACAAUUUCUUAAUUAUAGUAUUGAUUUCGGAGUUUGUAUAUUUUGUGGCAAUUGUGUUGAGUAUUGUCCAACAAGCUGUUUAUCAAUGACUGAAGAAUAUGAAAUUUCUACCUAUGAUAGUCAUGAAUUGAAUUACAACCAAAUUUCUUUAAGUCAGCUACCAAUCUCAUUAAUGGGAGAUUACACAAUUCAAACAAUUAGGAAUUCGUCUGAAAGUAAAAUAAACAAAGAAAAAUCUUUGAAUUCAAGAACGAUUACUGAUUGCUAAACUUUGAUUUUGUCUUUUUGUUAUAAAAAUAUAAUAAUUCUUUAUUAAACUUUAAAAUUAAACUAUAAAGAAAAACGAAAAACUAAUGCUUAUUGGAAAUUAUUUCUUAUUUUAAAUUAGACUAGAUUUUCGUGAUAUAAUAUAAUUUAUAACUAUACAGUUUAUACACCAAAAAAUACCCUAAUCCUUUUUUCCUUCCUUGAAUCCUUUAGUUUUAGUCAGCUCAUGAAAAAUUUUAUACUAUUAAUUUCUUUAUAUCCAUAAUGGAUUUACUUGGACCAAUACAGGAGAUUCUUAUGCUAUUUGGGGGAUUUGUUCUUCUACUAUGGGGUAUAGGAGUAGUAUUACUUACCAACCCCAUUUAUUCUUCCUUUUCGCUGGGAUUAGUUCUUGUUUGUAUAUCCUUAUUCUAUGUUUUAUUAAAUUCCAACUUUGUAGCUGUCGCACAACUUCUUAUUUAUGUGGGAGCCAUAAAUGUCUUGAUCAUAUUCGCUGUAAUGUUCGUAAAUGGCUCAUAAUGGUCUAAAGAUAAGAAUUAUUGGACUAUUGGAGAUGUGUUCACUUCACUCGUUUGUAUAACUAUUGUUUUUUCACUAAUGACUACUAUCCAAGAUACGUCGUGGUAUGGAAUUCUUUGGACUACAAGAUCAAACCAACUAGUAGAACAGGGUCUCAUAAAUAAUGUUCAACAAAUUGGAAUUCAUUUAGCAACUGCUUUUUAUCUUCCGUUUGAACUCAUUUACAUAAUUCUUCUAGUUUCUUUAAUAGGUGCAAUUACUUUGGCUCGGCAAUAAGAAAACUUAGAAAAAGUACAAAUUAUAAGAAUUGCAAAUCUAAAAUAAAUAACUAAAGAAUCACAAUUUUGAUUUAGUAAAAUCCAUCUACUGCCAACAAAUACCUCCUUUAUUUUCUCUUUUGUUGUGUAAUUGUUCUAUUGUAAUUAAUUGGAUCGGUUCAAUUCUUGCCCUCAUAUUGAAAUGAAUCGAGAUUGAUAAGGUGUUAGCUAAUGAUGUUUGAACAUGUACUUUUUUGAAUGUCUAUUUUUUCGAUUGGUAUCUAUGGAUUGAUCACAAGCCGAAACAUGGUUAGAGCUCUAAUAUGUCUUGAACUUAUACUGAAUUCAAUUAAUCUAUAUCUCGUAACAUUUUCUGAUCUGUUUGAUAGUCGCCAAUUGAAAGGAGAAAUUUUCUCAAUUUUUGUUAUAGCCCUUGCGGCUGCUGAAGACGCUAUUGGACUAUCCAUUCUUUCUUCCAUCCAUCAUAAUAGGAAAUCCACUCGUAUCAAUCAAUCUAAUUUAUUGAAUAAUUAGACAUAGAAUCCUCUAAAGAAAGGCGCAUGUAUUAACAUAAAUAGAAAUCAAUACUAUUUUCUUAGUAUUAUUUGAGAAUAUCCAUUUUUAGUAGAUUAUUGCAUAGUAUUCUUUUUCACUUAAAUGAUUUUUUGUAUUUUUAAUUCAUGGAUAUUGCAAUUUGAAUAUUGCAAUAAUUUAUAUUGAAAAGACGAUACACAAUUUAUUGGCUAAUUCGAAUUCGUCUGUACAAUUCGUAAAAUUCUUUCUUAUUUCUUAUUGUUGAAAUCCAAAAUUAAAGUCUCUUGGCUCUCUUCACGCUUUAUCACAAACAGAUUAAAAAAUAGUUUUUUAUUUUUGAAGUUUGGAUAAACCAUUGCUUCGUAUGGUGUCUACAAUACAGAUGACUCAUUAUAGUACUAAUUUCAUUUUUAGCAGAUCGAAAAAUUUUAUGUUGAAAAGAAAAAUUUAUAGAUCCGAUGUCAUAUUCCAUAAAAAUUUAUGAUACAUGUAUAGGAUGUACUCAAUGUGUACGAGCUUGUCCAACAUAUGUAUUAGAAAUGAUACCCUAGGAUGGAUGUAAAGCCAAGCAAAUUGCUUCCGUGUCGAGAACCGAAGAUUGUGUUGGUUGUAAGACAUGUGAAUCUGCCUGCCCGACAGAAUUUUUAAGUGUACGCAUUUUUUAGGGCCUGAAAUAACACGUAGCAUGGCUCUAUCUUAUUGAUACGUUACAAAAAACUUCACUCUAAUCGUCUGAUUCCUCUUUACCGAAGAAGCAUGUGCUCGAAAUAAUCGAGCACGGGCUUUUCUGGUCAAAACGUAUCUUGUCUUUAUCACUUUAUCAUGAGUUAUUUUCCUUGGUUAACAAUACUUGUUGUUUUGCCGAUAUUUGCAGGUUCAUUAAUUUUCUUUUUACCUCAUAAGGGAAACAAAUUCAUUAGGUGGUAUACUAUAUCUAUUUGUUUAUUAGAAUUCCUUCUAAUGACUUAUGUGUUCUGUUAUCAUUUCCAACUGGAGGAUCCCUUAACCCAAUUAAAGGAGGAUUAUAAAUGGAUAGAUGUCUUCGAUUUCCACUGGAGACUGGGAAUCGAUGGACUUUCAUUAGGAUCUAUUUUAUUGACAGGAUUUAUCACUACUUUAGCUACUUUAGCAGCUUGGCCAAUUACACGGAAUUCGCGAUUAUUCUAUUUCCUGAUGCUCGCAAUGUAUAGUGGUCAAAUAGGAUUAUUUUCUUCGUGAGACCUUUUACUUUUUUAUCAUGUGGGAGUUAGAAUUAAUUCCUGUUUACUUAGUUUUAUCNNNNNNNNNNNNNNNNNNNNNNNNNNNNNNNNNNNNNNNNNNNNNNNNNNNNNNNNNNNNNNNNNNNNNNNNNNNNNNNNNNNNNNNNNNNNNNNNNNNNNNNNNNNNNNNNNNNNNNNNNNNNNNNNNNNNNNNNNNNNNNNNNNNNNNNNNNNNNNNNNNNNNNNNNNNNNNNNNNNNNNNNNNNNNNNNNNNNNNNNNNNNNNNNNNNNNNNNNNNNNNNNNNNNNNNNNNNNNNNNNNNNNNNNNNNNNNNNNNNNNNNNNNNNNNNNNNNNAGGCGUCUAUAUUCAGCUACAAAGUUUAUUUUGUAUACUGCAGGCGGUUCCAUUUUUUCCUUAAUCAGAGUUCUGGGUAUGGGCUUAUAUGGUUCGAAUGAACCAGGAUUAGAUUUGGAAAGAUUAAUUAAUCAAUCAUACCAUGCAACCUUGGAAAUACUUUUAUACUUUGGCUUCCUUAUUGCUUAUGCUGUCAAAUUGCCGAUUAUACCCCUACAUACGUGGUUACCAGAUACCCAUGGGGAAGCACAUUAUAGUACAUGUAUGCUUUUAGCGGGAAUAUUAUUGAAGAUGGGACCAUAUGGAUUGAUUCGGAUCAACAUGGAAUUGUUACCUCAUGCUCAUUAUCUAUUUUCGCCCUGGUUAGUAAUAAUAGGAGUGAUCCAAAUAAUCUAUGCAGCUUCAACUUCUCUUGGUCAACGAAAUUUCCAAAAAAGAAUAGCUUAUUCCUCUGUAUCUCACAUGGGUUUCAUAAUUAUAGGAAUUGGUUCCAUAACCAACAUUGGACUCAAUGGAGCUAUUUUACAAAUAUUAUCCCAUGGAUUUAUUGGUGCUACACUUUUUUUCUUGGCAGGAACCGCUUCUGAUAGAAUGCGUCUUGUUUAUCUCGAAGAACUAGGGGGAAUAUCUAUCCCAAUGCCUAAAAAUUUUACCAUGUUUAGUAGAUUUUCAAUGGCUUCUCUUGCCUUACCAGGAAUGAGUGGUUUUGUCACAAAAUUAGUAGUAUUUUUUGGACUAAUUACUAGUCCAAAAUUUCUGUUAAUCCCAAAAACACUAAUUACUUUUGUAAUGGCAAUUGGAAUGAUAUUAACUCCUAUUUAUUUAUUAUCUAUGUUACGCUAGAUGUUCUAUGGAUACAAGCUAUUUAAUGUUCCAAACACAAAUUUUGUGGAUUCUGGACCACGAGCUCUUUAUUUUAAUCUGUAUCUUUUUACCAGUAAUAGGAAUUGGUAUUUAUCCAGAUUUUGUUCUCUCCCUAUCCGUUGACAGGGUAGAGGCUCUCUUAUCCAAUUAUUAUCCUAAAUAGAUUUGCUUUGUUUUACUCGUCUUCUCUAUUAAUGCAGAAAUAAGUAAAAAAGUAUAAUUAGAUCCAUCUCGAAUUUUUGAGAACCCUUUGAGAAGGCGUUCAAGGGGUUCUCAAAUAAAACAUAAAAGUAAAAACCUUCAUUUCAUGAAGGUUUUAUUUUUAUGUAAUCAUUUAGGUGUUAAUGUAAACGAACCAAAACUAUGUAGCCUAUUCCUAAUAGAUUUAUACCAAAAUAAAAAAUCGAAAUUAUAAGAAAUCCUAUCGAAGCUAUAAGUGUAGAAUUCAUACCUUUCCAAUGUGGAUUUGUUCUACUAUGUAAAUAAAUUGCGAAUAUGGUCCAAGUAAUAAAUGCCCAAGUUUCCUUAGGAUCCCAAUUCCAAUAGGAUCCAGAGGCCUCAUUAGCCCAUACUGCUCCACAAAGAAUACCUACGGUUAAAAGGGUAAAUCCUAGGCUAAUGACACGAUAACUCCAAGAAUCCAAACGCUCUGUUAAUUGAUAUUUGUAAUAAUUUGGAAAUGAAGGGACAGAGGUUCUUUUUAAAGCACUUCUUUUUGCAUAAAAAUAUUUAAUAUCACUAAAGAAAAUGUUUUAUUUAAAACAUUUUUUCUUUUUAGAAAAUAAAUGGAAAUUAUUUCGAAAUCUAAUGAUUAGAAUAACGGCAGAUAAUAAGGACCUGCACAAAAGAGUUGCAUAGCUUAAUAACAUCAUACUGACAUGCAUCAUUAACCACUGAGAUUGUAGAGCAGGUACUAGUACCGUAGAUUGAUGCAUUUCAGUUAAAAGGCCCGAUGUGGCAAAGCAUUGCGUUAAAAUAGUACUUGGCGUAGUUAUUGUGCUUAAAUCAUUUUUAGAGUUAUGUAUUUUAGGAAUGGUAUGAAGAAUAUACAGGGCCCAUGAAAGGAAGAUCAAUGACUCAUACAAAUUACUUAAUGGAAAAUGUCCCGAGGAAGCCCAACGAGAAACUAAGAAUCCUAUUAUAGAGAAAAAAGUAACUAUCAUUCCUUUUUUUGAUGAAUCACGUAAUCCUCCAAGUUCAUGAACUAAUAAGGUUAUAAAAUGAAUCGUACUCAUAAUUGAAAUCGUUGAGAAAGAGAUAUGAGUUAGGAUAUGUUCUAAAGUUGCAAAUAGCAUAAGGGGAAGGUCCCAUUACGAAAUUGUAAAUUUUGAAUUGAUUUCUAAUCUAUUGUAUUGUUUUUCAAGAAUGCCGCCACUCGGAUUCGAACCAAGAUGCUUGAGCACUGCUUCCUAAGAGCAGCGUGUCUACCAAUUUCACCAUGGCGGCUAACUUCAAAUAAUAGGUAACUUAAAAGAAUAAUAACUAUUAUCUUGGGAAUCAUCGAUAUUGGGAAAGUCCAUAAAAUUUAGGAACAUUAGAGUUUUCAUUAAAGUAGACUUCGUUUGGUAGUAUCGUUUCCAUUUUUUUUACAAUAAGCUCUUGCUUUUCCCAAUAGAAACACAAACACUGCUUGAAAGAGUUGGAACUUCUUUUCUCUAACAUGCAAUUAUAGAACUAAUUUUUUCUAAUUAAUUUAUCGUUUACAUUUUGAAAAUUCUUUCAAUGCAAUGAAAAAAAUCCCAAAGGGUUUCUAUUUAAUGAUGAAACUAAAAGGAUAAAUAUAAAAGGCUUUUUCGGAUUUUUUUUUAAACUUUAUAGAAUGAAAGUCUUUAUGCUCUUAUUAAUAAGAUUUACUAACCUUAUGAUUUUGGAGAAGAUAGGUGGAAGUUGUAGGUCCUAUUGUAAGAAUACUCCACUUUUCAUAAUUUUCAUAAUAGAAUAUGAGGAUUCUAUUAUGAAAAUUAUGGAAAGUUCAUUGAUAGGAAAAGAAUACUUAGCACACAGUAUACCAAACACAACUUUUUUUCUUAUAUAUAUAAGAUAAGAGGGGUUUUUUGUUCUAAGAAUAUUGUACCGAGUAAUUCGACACAUAAAAGUACAUUCAAAGAAGAAUCGAAAUUAUUAAAUAAUUGGAAUUCUUUUUUGAUAAGUCAAUUCAUAUUAUUCCAAAAUUUUAUGAUUUGUUUGUUGCCCAAAAAACCCUUUGGUUUUGGAUGCUCAUUACCGCUCGAAAAUGAUCUUGAUUUUACUUAAGAAUAAGAUUGUACUAUGGAAAAAUAAGUGUUUUUCUUCCAGAUAUUUUUAUGAAUACGCUUUUUUGACAUUGAAGUACGUUUUUUUGGACCUGCCAUUCAAAAAGGAAAUUACUUUUUUCUAGUUGUAUGUGAAAUACAUCUAUUGCUGGAAAUCAAUCCUUCUUUCUUCUUUUUAUUAGUAUUUAUACUUAGAUAUUGAAAGAUAGUUAAAUUUAGAAUUACUUUUUACUUCAUUUUGUCUAAUGCGGAUAAGACAACAAUAAUUUUUUAACAUUUUUUCUUUAUAUAUUUUGUACUAGUUUUUAAUAAUAUAUAAUAUAUAGAAGGGUUUCUCAUUUAAAUCUAACUUCAUAUAUAGAUAUAUGGUAUGGAAGCCUAUCCCCCAUAUAAGAUAAGACGGGGGGAUAAAAAGAAGGGAAAAUGAAAAUAGUUAAUUAAGUUCAGAAUGGUAAUCCAUAGCGGAAAGGAAUUCCAAUCAAAACAAAAAAUACUGAGUCUCUUAAACAAGACAUUCUAAAACUUAGGUAAUUUAUAGUCAUUAGGAUAAUUUCUUAUAAACAUAGGGUUUCAUUGGAAUUCACUCAAUCAGUUAAUUAUGGAACAAGAGAGCUGUUUCACCUUUGUUUUAAAGAAAUAUAAAAAUAAAUUAUGAAUAGAAAGUAAAAUGAUUCCAAUUUUUUUAUUUUUAUAAAUAUCUUUAUUUAGUUAAUAAAAUAACUACGUAACGAAGUUAUUUUAUUAACUUUUUUAAUUUAACCAACUAAACCCAUUCUUAAUUUUUAAUUGUUACAAUGAGAUAAAUUUUGGAAAAAUUAAGAAUUUCAGUAUUUUUUCUUAUUCUUUUUAUUUAUUCUUUCAGAAAGAGAUAAGAAUUGGUUUGGUGAAUUCGAAACAAUUUUAUAGAAAAAUUGAAGUAAAAAUUGAAGUAAAAGUUGCAAUUUCUUUUCUUAUGGAACAUACAUAUCAAUAUGCAUGGGUAAUUCCUAUUCUCCCACUUCCAGUUAUUAUGUCAAUGGGAUUUGGUCUUAUUCUUAUUCCGACAGCAACAAAAAAUCUUCAUCGCAUAAGGGAUUUCCCUAGUGUUUUACUCUUAAGUAUAGCUAUGGCAUUCUCAGUUCAACUGUCUAUUCAACAAAUAAAUGGAAGUUCGAUCUAUCAAUAUCUAUGGUCUUGGACCAUCAAUAAUGAUUUUUCAUUAGAAUUUGGAUACUUGAUUGACCCACUUACUUCUAUUAUGUUAAUACUAAUUACUACUUAGGAAUCCUGGUACUUAUUUAUAGUGAUGGUUAUAUGUCUCAGGAUGAAGGAUAUUUGAGAUUUUUUGUUUAUAUAAGUUUUUUCAAUACUUCCAUGUUGGGAUUGGUUACUAGCUCCAAUUUGAUACAAAAAAUUUUUGCGAACUCGUGGGAAUGUGUUCUUAUUUAUUGAUAGGCUUUUGGUGUAACUAAUUGUGUAGGCGAUUUUGGUCUAUUAUUAGGAAUUUUAGGGUUUUUUUGGAUAACAGGUAGUUUAGAGUUUAGGGAUUUGUUCAAAAUAGCUAAAAACUGGAUUCCUAAUAAUGGAAUUAAUUCUUUACUUACUACUUUGUGUGCUUUUUUAUUAUUCCUUGGUGUAGUUGCGAAAUCCGCACAAUUCCCUCUUCAUGUAUGGUUACCUAAUGCUAUGGAAGCGCCCACUCCUAUUUCGGCUCUUAUACACGCAGCAACUAUGGUUACUGCGGGAAUUUUUCUUAUAGCUCGACUUCUUCCUCUUUUCAUAUCUUUACCUUUGAUAAUGAGUUUUAUUUCUUUAGUAGGUACAAUAACACUAUUCUUAGGAGCUACUUUAGCUCUUGCUCAGAGAGAUAUUAAAAUAAGCUUAGCCUAUUCUACAAUGUCUCAAUUGGGUUAUAUGAUGUUAGCUCUAGGUACAGGUUCUUAUCAAGCUGCUUUAUUCCAUUUGAUCACUCAUGCUUAUUCAAAAGCUUUAUUGUUCUUGGGAUCCGGAUCUGUUAUUCAUUCAAUGGAACCUCUUGUUGGAUAUUCACCAGAUAGAAGUCAAAAUAUGGUUCUUAUGCGCGGUUUAAGAAAAUACAUUCCAAUCACAAGAACUACUUUUUUAUGGGGUACACUUUCUCUUUGUGGUAUUCCACCUGUUGCUUGCUUCUGGUCCAAAGAUGAAAUCCUUAGUAAUAGUUGGUUGUAUUCGCCCUUUUUUUGGAAUAAUAGCCUCCUUUACUCCAGGAUUAACUGCCUUUCAUAUCUUUAGGAUAUAUUUACUUACAUUUGAUGGGUAUUUGCGUGUUCAUUUUCAAAAUUACAGUAGCACUAAAGAGAGUUCCAUGUAUUCAAUAUCCUUAUGGGGUAAAAGGAUACCCAAAGGAGUGAAUAGGGAUUUUGUUUUAUCAACAACGAAGAGUGGAGUUUCUUUUUUUUCACAAAAUAUACCAAAAAUUCAAGGUAAUGCAAGAAAUAGGAUAGGAUCCUUUACUACGUCUUUUGGGGCUAAAAACACUUUUUCCUAUCCGCAUCAAACGGGAAAUACUAUGUUAUUUCCUCUUCUUAUAUUACUACUUUUCACUUUGUUCAUUGGAUUCAUAGGAAUCUCUUUUGAUAAUGGAGGAAUUGAUAAUGAAAUAGCAGAGUUAACCAUAUUAUCAAAGUGGUUAGCUCCCUCAAUAAACUUUACCCAGGAAAGUUCUAAUUUUUUUGUAAAUUCAUAUGAAUUUAUUACUAAUGCAAUUUCUUCUGUAAGUCUAGCUAUCUUUGGUUUACUCAUAGCAUAUAUCUUCUAUGGAUCUGCUUAUUCUUUUUUUCAGAAUUUGGAUUUAAUAAACUCUUUUUACAAAGGAAAUCCUAAAAAGAAUUUUUAGAUCAAGUAAAAAAUAUACAGUUGGUCAUACAAUCGUGGUUAUAUAGAAAUUUUCUAUACUAGGGUCUUUACCCUCGGUAUAAGAGGGUUAACCGAAGUCACAGAGUUUUUUGAUAAGGGUGUUAUUGAUGGAAUUACCAAUGGAGUGGGUCUUUCUAGUUUUUGUAUAGGAGAGGAAAUUUGUGACAUCCCCGAUUCAAUCGUACACUAAUCAUACACGCAAACAUGUAUGAUCAAGAUCAGGGACUCACGGGAAGAUAUCACAACACAACUCUACAAAUAAAUAAGUCAUACAAGCAUCAUAUUACAAGCCAGGGCCACGAAGGCUCGAAUACAAGAGCUCAAUCAUAGACGAGUCAGCGGAAGCAACAAUAUCUGAGUACAGACAUAAGUUAAACAAGUUUGCCUUAAGAAGGCUAGCACAAACUGGGAUACAGAUCGAAAGAGGUGCAGGCCUCCUGCCUGGGAUCCUCCUAAACUACUCCUGGUCGUCGUCAGCGGGCUGCACGUAGUAGUAGGCACCCCCAGUGUAGUAGAAGUCGUCGUCGACGGUGGCGUCUAGAUCCUGGGCUCCAACAUCUGGUUGCGACAACCAGGUAGAAGGGAAAGGGGGAAAAGGGAGAGAAAAGCAACCGUGAGUACUCAUCCAAAGUACUCGCAAGCAAGGAGCUACACUACAUAUGCAUGGGUAUAUGUGUAAAGGGGCUAUAUCGGUGGACUGAACUGCAGAAUGCCAGAAUAAGAGGGAGAUAGCUAAUCCUGUCGAAAACUACGCUUCUGGCAGCCUCCGUCUUGCAGCAUGUAGAAGAGAAUAGACUGAAGUCCUCCAAGUAGCAUCGCAUAGCAUAAUCCUACCAGGCGAUCCUCUCCUCGUCGCCCUGUUAGAGAGCGAUCACCGGUUGUAUCUGGCACUUGGAAGUGUGUGUUUUAUUAAGUAUCCGGUUCUAGUUGUCAUAAGAUCAAGGUACAACUCCAAGUCGUCCUGUUACUGAAGAUCACGGCUAUUCGAAUAGAUUAACUUCCCUGCAGGGGUGCACCACAUAACCCAACACGCUCGAUCCCAUUUGGCCGGACACACUUUCCUAGGUCAUGCCCGGCCUCGGAAGAUCAACACGUCGCAGCCCUACCUAGGCACAACAGAGUGGUCAGCAUGCCGGUCUAAAUCCUAUGGCGCAGGGGUCUGGGCCCAUCGCCCAUUGUACACCUGCAUGUUGCGAGGGCGGUCGGAAGCAGACCUAGCCUAGCAGGCGUUCCAGUCCAAUCCGGCGCGCGCCGCUCAGUCGCUGAUGUCACGAAGGCUUCGGCUGAUACCACGACGUCGAGUGCCCAUAACUGUCCCCGCGUAGAUGGUUAGUGCAUAUAGGCCAGUAGCCAGACUCAGAUCAAAUACUAAGAUCUCGUUAAAUGUGUUAUCUUAAAAUAACCGCGAACGCCGACCAGGGCCAGGACCACCUCUCUCCUAGGUGGUCUCAACCUGCCCUGUCACUUCGCCACAAAGAUCCACUCAGAGGGCCAUCAGGACAAACGUCCUUUCAGACCCAAUCCGUGAAUCACUCGCGGGUACUCCUACGAGCCGACCCACCUUUAGUCACCACAAGUAUCAUAUAUUAUGUAUAAGUAUAUACCCGUGAUCACCUCCUGAGUGACCACGGCCCGAUAGUAUAGCAUGGCAGAUAGACAAGAAUGUAUGGCCACUGAUGAUAAACUAGCAUCCUAUACUAAGCAUUAGGAUUGCAGGUAAAGGUAACAAUAGUAGUAGCAAGGACAUGCUAUGCAUCAGGAUAGGAUUGACGGAAAGCAGUAACAUGCUACACUCCUCUAAUGCAAGCAGUAUAGAGGAGAGUAGGCAAUAUCUAGUGAUCAAAGGGGGGCUUGCCUGGUUGCUCUGGCAAGAGAGAGGGGUCGUCAACUCCGUAGUUGUACUAGGUAGCAGCGGCGUCGGUCUCGGUGUCUAGCGAGAGAAGACGGGGGAGAAACAAUAAAUAUAAUGCAAACAAAUGCAUGACGAUGCAUGACAUGGCAAAGCGUAAAGCUAGGUGUGCCCUAACGUGGUACGAGGUGGUACUGGUGAAGGGGGGAAACAUCGGGGAAAUUAUCCCCGGUGUUUUGCGUUUUUGGACAGAUGAACCGGAGGGGGAAAGUUGCGUGUUUGCUAUGCUAGGGAUGCAUGGCAGAUGAACGGGCAGCGUAUCCGGAUUCGUCUCGUCGUUUCGAGCAACUUUCAUGUACAAAGUUUUUUCAACCGAGCUACAGAUUAAAAGAUAUGAUUUUCUAAAGAUUUUAUUAAUUUUUGAAAUUAUUUUUAAUUCAAAAAUAAUUGCUAAAUUGCUAGGCGCAGCCAGCACAGUGUACACAAAAGUGUACCUAGUGACUGACAGGUAGGCCAGAGGGACCCAGUUGACCAGUCAACGUUUGACUGGUCAACAGGGGUGGGACCCCCUGUCAUUGACUGUUUUAGUUAAUUAGGGUUUAGGUUAAUUAGUUUAAAUAGUCAGGCUUAAUUAGUUGUUUUAGUUUAAUUAAUCAAAAUUAAAUACUUUAAUUAAUUCUUUAAUUAAUUAAUUAAGUUUAAUUAAGUCAAUUAAUUACUUAAUUAUUUAAUUAAGUCAAUUAAUUACUUAAUUAUUUAAUUAUUAAUUUUAUUUAUUUAUUUUUUAAAUCCCUUUUUUUGUUAAAACGUUCUGGGGCUGGGGCCCGUUUGUCAGUGGGACAAAGGCCUAUCGGGGCGGGUACGAUUGCUGGGGCGUUACAGGCGCACGACCCGUAUGAGGCCCAAGCGGGCGACGGCGCGUCGCCGGAGGUGGCUGCAGCCACUGUGGAGCGAGGCAGCAAUGGUGCAGUGGGUCCGAGCGGGACGAAGGACGACGAGGGCGCACCCUGGGCGUAGGUGGAGCAGCAGCAGCGGCCGGACGGGCGACAACAAACGCAGCGCGGAGGGGCAGUGCGGGCGCGCGUGGGUGCAGCGAGCGGGUGGCUGGCGGCAUCGAGGGGGGCUACAGCACGGGCGCGGAGGGGAGAGCAGCACAGCGGGCGCAGCGGCUCACUAAGGAGUAGGGGUGCGGCCAUGCGCCGGGCGCGGGCGUCGGGCACAUGCAGACGAACCCGCAGCCAGAGUGCGAGGCGAGGCCACCGGGCGCUGCGGGCGGGCAGAGCCCGGGGGGCGCGGCCGGAGGCAGGUGCUGAGGGCGGCGGCCGGGGAAAGGCGGCACGGCAGAGGCGAAAGCGGGAGGNNNNNNNNNNNNNNNNNNNNNNNNNNNNNNNNNNNNNNNNNNNNNNNNNNNNNNNNNNNNNNNNNNNNNNNNNNNNNNNNNNNNNNNNNNNNNNNNNNNNNNNNNNNNNNNNNNNNNNNNNNNNNNNNNNNNNNNNNNNNNNNNNNNNNNNNNNNNNNNNNNNNNNNNNNNNNNNNNNNNNNNNNNNNNNNNNNNNNNNNNNNNNNNNNNNNNNNNNNNNNNNNNNNNNNNNNNNNNNNNNNNNNNNNNNNNNNNNNNNNNNNNNNNNNNNNNNNNNNNNNNNNNNNNNNNNNNNNNNNNNNNNNNNNNNNNNNNNNNNNNNNNNNNNNNNNNNNNNNNNNNNNNNNNNNNNNNNNNNNNNNNNNNNNNNNNNNNNNNNNNNNNNNNNNNNNNNNNNNNNNNNNNNNNNNNNNNNNNNNNNNNNNNNNNNNNNNNNNNNNNNNNNGUGGGGCGACGAGGUGGGUUAGGGUUUGGGGGAGGGAGUGGAUAAGGGAGUGGAGGCGCGGGGUGGGCCGGCCCAUUCGGGCGGCUGGGGGCCCGCGUGGAAGGCCAGCUGGGCCAAAAGGCCCAGUGGGGGGGGGCUUUUCUUUCUGUUUGUAUUUCUUUUCUGUUUUCUGUUUUGCAUUUUCUUUUAUUUUCUUUUCUGUUUUAUUUCAUCUUAAAUUAUUUAGGCAUUUUAUAAAAAUGUGUUUGCUUUAUUAUAAUUACCCAGGCAUUUAACUGCACACCCCGAACAUUUUAAUUUAAUAUUUUGAAAACUUUGUCGCUUGACAUUAAUUUGAAUUUGGAUUUGAAAAGGUUUCGAAUCAUUGCGAGUUUAGCAACAGUAACCGAGGUGUCAUGGAAUGAUCAGCGUGGGAUUACUGUAGCAUGAUUAUCCGGGCAUUACAAAAUUAAAUAUGUAGGGGGGGGGUCGAAUCUCGUCUUAUUUAUUCUUUUUUCAUGUUAUGUAUCUGUGUUUUUAUUCUUUUUUCUUUCUUAAGUUAAGGAAUUUACAACAAGUCUCUUGCAAAAAUAACUAUCCUAUCCCUUUUCUACAAUCUCUCUAUAUCCUUGUUACAUAAGGUAGGUAUUGUAUAGUAGUUCGGUUUUCCUCGAUUUUUUUCCAUUCCUCUGUGUAAAUAUCCUAAUAUGGGUUCACAAUCAAUAACAUCCUGACCAUCGAGCGUAAUGAUCGGUCGAAGAAUACCAUGCAUUCAUGGGUGUUGAGGGUCCACAUUGACUAUCAUGAGAUCUUUUCUUGUAAGCGGUAGACUAAUAUCCUUUCUUCCUUAAUUCAUUAUUCCAUGAAAAUGGAUUAUUCCAUGAAUUCCUCAAAGUGAGGCUCAUCAAAAUGAAAAAUCUAAGACUACUAAAAGAAUAAUAAAACAAGAAAAAAAUUUGAACGAUUAACUUACUGCUCCCGAAUAUUCAAUUGACCGAUUAAUUUCUUAUAACGUACUCUAUUUUUCUUUGCCAAAUAAGCCAGCAAACGUCGACAUUUUGCCAAAAGUCUUCGUAGACCUCUUUCCGAUGAAAAAACUUUUUUGUGUAAUUCCAAAUGUGAAGCAAGUCUCCGUAUCUUAUUGGUGAAACUGAAUACUUGAAAUUCAACAUAACCCAUGUUUUCUUCUUUUUCUUCUUUAACCAUAAAUCCAAAAAAAAAAUUCUACCUCCUUUCUUUUUCAUGUAUUUUUUUAUCAGGAAAAAUACAAAAUUAUGUCAGAUAUUUUGAAGUUAUUCUAAUCUGGUACGCACACAAAUUUGCAAUUAUUCAUCUACUACUAGAAUUUGGAUUUAUUUUAUCGAUGCAAAUUGGAUUUGGAUAGAAGGGUACAUUCUUUCUAAUAUUUUAGAUAGAAGAAAUGUUUCUUCUAUCUAAAAGAUUAGAAAGAAUUUUGCUGAUUUAUUUAUUGCUAUAUGCAAUUUAUGGAAUUGAUACACCAUUUAAUUGAUACUCCCUCCAUUCCACAAUGUAGUGCUUCCUCUAUCCACGUGCUUCAACUUUGACUGUAUAUUUAACUAUCAAGACCGAUUGCGGCGGGAGCAAAAAUUAUAUCAGUGAAUUCGUAUUUGAAAGAAGUUUUCAAUUAUAUAAUUUUUUCUCUUGCCGCAGUUGGUCUCGUUGGUUAAAUUUAUGGUCAAAGUUUAACCUUGGGAAGCGCGGGUGCACUAUAUUUUGGAAUGGAGGGAGUAUCAUUUAGCAAAAUGAAACACAACAUAUGCAUCCAUCUUUUGGCUCGAGAAUUUCACGGGAUAGAGUUAUGGUAUAAGAAAUAGACUAUUAAGUAACUCUAAAUGAAUUGUGGAUACAUCUGUAUCCUUAACAUACUGAAACGAUUGCCAUUAUUCAUAUCAAACCAAUAGCGAUUCAUACAAGCUAAAUCUUCUAAUCAAUGGUGGCCCAAUAAUGAAUUUUUUUUGCAUAUGUAUUAAGACGCUUGGCCUGAUUUCGAAAUUGUUCAGAGUUUUAUAUGUUGUUUUCAUUGCAAAAUUACGGGUCUCCUUCAUAACUUUGCAAUUACGAGUACGAGAAUUGAAAGACAUGAAAAUUCUCAAUUCUCCACGGCGUCUAGUAGAUAGAAACAAGAAAAUCAGAAGAAUCUUUCUCUCUAUUCACUAUCAUUCCGCGUCUUCGACUUCUAUUAGUUUCUUUUCUUCUUUAAUGCAAUAGCUAUAGUUUGAUAUAAGAAUCCAUUUCUCAAAGUAAUGGAAACCAUUCUCUUAUGGGAAAUGGUUCGAAAAUCGCUAUUCCACCUUUUAGGUAUUGUGAAAAGUGAUAGCUGUGAAGAUCGUGUAUUUCAGUCAAAUUCAGAUCCAUUUUUCGAGUCCAUGAUAUAAUAUAACCAAAUUGGAUAGAUCUUCCACCUGUUUAGCUAAGAAAGAAUAGAUACAGAAGUGGAUAAUAUAUCGAUAUGAAGAUUGGAAUCGCCAGUAGUCACGAAUAUCUCCUUCUUCCCUAAUCCAAGAUUGGAGAAAGAAGAUCUAAGAGGGACCUAUGGAGAAUGUAGUCAGAAAUCCAUCAUAGAGUCCGACCACAACGACCGAAUUAAUUAUCCUCAUCGACAAACUUAGACUACUAAAUAGAAAAGAUUUGAAAAUCAUGGCAUGGGUCUCCUUUUUUUCUUUCUUUAGAGUUUUCUAUAUGCACAAUUUCUCGAUGUUUCGAUGAGAAUUUCUUGACUUUCCAUAUAUAGAAGGAGAUAGACUAUAAAUGACAUCUCUGAUGUCAAUAAGACCAAAGGGAUGGAUAUUAAAUGAUAGGAAGUGCUAGGAAGUGAAAUAUAAUGAAAUAGAGCCACUUUGGGCUUCCCUAUGAAAUGAGGCAUGGAACGGAGCCACCACGAAGAAAUUAUGGGAGUUACGAAAGAAGCUUCGGACACAUAUUGUUCAUAGGUUGAGAGCGGGAGUUGAACUCUAGGAGGUCGAAUCCCCCCUUGUUCCUCAGUAGCUUAGUGGUAUAGCGGUCGGUUGUUAUCUGACUGGUCGUAGGUUCGAAUCCUACUUGGGGGAUUUUAUUCAUUCUUUAAUGUAAGAAUUUUAAUGUAAGAAUAAAGAAUUGAAUUAAAUGGCUUGCUUUGACCCUUAGGAGAAGGUAACCCUUCCGCUAUCCUUGUUUCUAUUUCUAUUGCAUUCUAUCUCAUCAUAUCACAUUCUGUUCUACGAUUCCACUUCGACAAAAGGAAAGAGCAUACCUAAGUUCAAUAGCUUUGCGUCCGCUAUCCUGAUCAUGAUUUUCCUACCCUCAGGGGGAAAGUAAAUGCCCUUCCCCCUUUGGAAGGCUCUGGGCGAGGAGGGAUUCGAACCCCCGACACCAUGGUUCGUAGCCACGUGCUCUAAUCCUCUGAGCUACAGGCCCAGCUGUCUCCAUUGGAUCUCUUCCCGGGGGUACCCCUUCAUUUCAGGUUAAGAAGAUGGGAAAGUGCCUUUCUCUCUAUAAGAAUAGUGUGUUCCGAGGUGUGAAGUGGGAGAGAGGGUAUGUGAUGAUUGAGGUUUUGAAUAAGACGACCUUUGCAUUUUAGAUUUGGAUCUUUUUCUUAUUUCAAAAUAGUGAAAAAGUCAAAUAAGAGGUGUUAAGAUUUUUAUCAUUCUGGCAUCGAGCUAUUUUGCCGCAGGGCCUCCCCUACAGUAUCGUCACCGCAGUAGAGUUUAACCACCAAAUUCGGGAUGGAUUGGUGUGGUUCCUCUACGCCUAGGACACCAGAAUAUCGAACCAUGAACGAGGAAAGGCAUGAGAUAAAUAUUGGAUAGUAAUUGUGAAGCCCCAAUUCUUGACUAAAAGGGACACCAAAGGCCUCUACCCUCCCUCUCCAUCUAUACAAGUGAUGGAAGGGUAGAGCUUUUUUUUGGUUUUUUCUUCUUUUCAUCAAAGAGUUGAACAAUGAAGAUAGAUGGCAAGUGCCUGAUCGAUUUGAUCAGGCCAUGUAGGAACAAGGUUCAAAUUGUUUGUUUGUUAGGAUGCCUCAGCUGCAUACAUCACUGCACUUCCACUUGACACCUAUUUAAACAGCUCAUCUCGCCGCUACCUUAUCCUAUUUCCAUACUUCUGUCGCUCCAUCCCCGUAUGGGUCGAGAACCCGUCACUGUCUCAGCUGUAAUACCGGAUGCUCUAGGGAAGUUGGAGGAGAGAGCACUCAUCUUGGGGUGGGCUUACUACUUAUAUGCUUUCAGCAGUUAUCCUCUCCGCACUUGGCUACCCAGCGUUUACCGUAGGCACGAUAACUGGUACACCAGAUGUGCGUCCUUCCCGGUCCUCUCAUACUAGGGAAAGGUCCUCUCAAUGCUCUAACACCCACACCGUAUAUGGACCGAACUGUCUCACGACGUUCUAAACCCAGCUCACGUACCGCAUUAAUGGGCA
rnacentral:lncRNA from 1 species